CCGGAAAAAGAAGAGUGGCGAACGGGUGAGUAACACGUGGGUAACCUGCCCAUCAGAAGGGGAUAACACUUGGAAACAGGUGCUAAUACCGUAUAACAAUCGAAACCGCAUGGUUUUGAUUUGAAAGGCGCUUUCGGGUGUCGCUGAUGGAUGGACCCGCGGUGCAUUAGCUAGUUGGUGAGGUAACGGCUCACCAAGGCCACGAUGCAUAGCCGACCUGAGAGGGUGAUCGGCCACAUUGGGACUGAGACACGGCCCAAACUCCUACGGGAGGCAGCAGUAGGGAAUCUUCGGCAAUGGACGAAAGUCUGACCGAGCAACGCCGCGUGAGUGAAGAAGGUUUUCGGAUCGUAAAACUCUGUUGUUAGAGAAGAACAAGGAUGAGAGUAACUGUUCAUCCCUUGACGGUAUCUAACCAGAAAGCCACGGCUAACUACGUGCCAGCAGCCGCGGUAAUACGUAGGUGGCAAGCGUUGUCCGGAUUUAUUGGGCGUAAAGCGAGCGCAGGCGGUUUCUUAAGUCUGAUGUGAAAGCCCCCGGCUCAACCGGGGAGGGUCAUUGGAAACUGGGAGACUUGAGUGCAGAAGAGGAGAGUGGAAUUCCAUGUGUAGCGGUGAAAUGCGUAGAUAUAUGGAGGAACACCAGUGGCGAAGGCGGCUCUCUGGUCUGUAACUGACGCUGAGGCUCGAAAGCGUGGGGAGCAAACAGGAUUAGAUACCCUGGUAGUCCACGCCGUAAACGAUGAGUGCUAAGUGUUGGAGGGUUUCCGCCCUUCAGUGCUGCAGCUAACGCAUUAAGC
rnacentral:rRNA from 1 species